UUUAUUGAACCGCCACUCCUAGCACUCCUCAUUGGCAGGAACCAAAACAACGGUUAAUUGCUUUUAGCUUUUCCUUUAAGGAGCAUGGGAGGACAUUAUUUAUGAUGAAAGUAGCCGGUUGUUGGUAUUCAAGGAAAGGGAUCUGAAAAAACUUUUUUUUUUUGACAAAAAGGUGAAAUUGCUGGUUACAGUGCUAGUGGAUUGGAAUUGUGCUUCCAUAAAAAUACUCCACAAACCAUCAGAAAACUGGUAUGUCUCACAGUAUUCCAUAUUGUUUUAAAAAAUUCACUGCUAAUUGAUCAUCUGAUUCAUCUCUCUCUCUCUCUCUCACACAGAGACAGACACAAACACACACAUAGACGCGCGCUCGCACUCACAUACACGAGAACACACACAGUUGGGCAAAAUACUAAAAUUUUGUGCUGGCCCUGAGAGCCAUCUAGAAAUUUGUUGGAAUUAGAUUAGAUAUAUGCUAACCCCUUUUUCAUCUUUAAAGGGCAUUGUAAUAUGAUUCUGGUCUCCAUGAGUAACUUUGGAAUUCUAAAGAACUAUAUAAAUAUAUGACCCAGUUACAUAUCCUAACCUGAAAUUUACCCAAUCUAACUGAUUUUAGCUUACCACGUGAAGGGCUAUAAACUUGUAACAGAGGUGAUUUCCUUAAAGGGGGAUUAAUUUUGAAUUUAAUGAAAUAUAUAUAUGUGUGAGCUUUUUCUACUCUCUUACCUGAUUAAUAUGCCUAAGAUAGCAGAUUAAAGCCUUGCAAAUGGCUAAUUGUCGAUUAGCAAGAAUCUUAUUAGUUGAUUGCAAAUAUGUGCAUUAUAAAAUCAUAUGUACAAUUUUGAAUAUCUAAUAUAGAUGAUAAUGGAGCAUCAGGUAAGAAUCCUUAGAGGAAAAGACAACAUUGGGUAGGUGACCAAAGGCAGUUAACAUUCUCACUCGGGAGAGUGGUUAGCAUGAAGUUAAUUUUGGUCAAUUGAUCAGUGUCGACACGUAGGCGUGAGGUGAUAUCUUUCUCUACGUGUCAACACUGUAUUGGUCAAUUGACCAACUUACCAUAAAAUUAACUUCAUGAUAACCAGAUCCCUCACUGGGCAAAACAGAUAUUGGUUCACGUGUAGGACACUCUGACGGAGUUGGUAAGAACGCCACCCUUAUCUCCACCUUAUCUCCAUUAGUGUUUUUUACCUAAAAAAGUAAUUAUACACACAAAAUAACAUCCUUCUCGUUCCUAUACAAUUUCAGGAAGGGAAUAAAAGAGCACCCCAUCCACCCUUCAUUCUUGCUAUAGAACUCCUAACGUAUACAAAACCUCCGUACCUCUAUGUCCAAAUAUCAGAAUCAAAUUGCUCUUUUUGUGUCCUAUAUAUUUUCUUUGAAAAUGAUUUGAUUGAUUUGUCUUGAAAUUAAUCUGACGUAUAUAGGGAUCAAAAUCUACUAAUUCCAACUGCUCAUCUCUUGAUUAAUGAUCCUUCAUAACUUGGCAUGCUAGAGGAAUCCGUUGAGGUAUAGGACACAUUUAUUUUAGUUAAUGCACUCGAUACCAAACUGCUGUUAAUGCUAGAAGACCUCGCAGAGCUAGCUGAGCCUUCCAUUCUAGCAUUCAGAAAAGGAGGUUGAUUAGGCAUGGGAACUUCAGAAUCUUCAUUAAUAAGCAGCUGAACCACUUCAUCCAUAGAUGGCCUUAAGGCAGCUGAUGCUUGUGUGCAUAAAAGUCCAAUUUGGAGAACAUUUGACACCUCUUUUACUGGAAAAUUACCUUGCAGACGAGGGUCAAUUACUUCAG
rnacentral:lncRNA from 1 species